CCAGACUCCUACGGGAGGCAGCAGUGGGGAAUAUUGGGCAAUGGGGGAAACCCUGACCCAGCAACGCCGCGUGAAGGAAGAAGGCUUUCGGGUUGUAAACUUCUUUUACCAGGGACGAAGAAAGUGACGGUACCUGGAGAAAAAGCUCCGGCUAACUACGUGCCAGCAGCCGCGGUAAUACGUAGGGAGCGAGCGUUAUCCGGAUUUAUUGGGUGUAAAGGGUGCGUAGACGGGAAAAUAAGUUAGUUGUGAAAUCCCUCGGCUCAACUGAGGAACUGCAACUAAAACUAUUUUUCUUGAGUGCAGGAGAGGAAAGUGGAAUUCCUAGUGUAGCGGUGAAAUGCGUAGAUAUUAGGAGGAACACCAGUGGCGAAGGCGACUUUCUGGACUGUAACUGACGUUGAGGCACGAAAGUGUGGGGAGCAAACAGGAUUAGAUACCCCUGUAA
rnacentral:rRNA from 1 species